UACGUAGGAUGCUAGCGUUGUCCGGAUUUACUGGGCGUAAAGCGCGCGCAGGCGGCACUGUAAGUAAGGUGUGAAAUAUCCCUGCUCAACGGGGAGGGUGCACUUUAGACUGCAGAGCUAGAGGACGGUAGAGGGGGGGUGGAAUUGCUGGUGUAGCGGUGAAAUGCGUAGAGAUCAGCAGGAACACCCGUGGCGAAGGCGGCCCCCUGGGCCGAACCUGACGCUGAGGCGCGAAGGCUAGGGGAGCGAACGGG
rnacentral:rRNA from 1 species